ensembl:snoRNA Snora5c small nucleolar RNA, H/ACA box 5C
UGCAGUCAAGUCAAAUUCAGUUCCUAUCCUCUCAUGAUGGGAGCUGGCCCAAAUGACUGCGACAGCAAACUCUGCUGCUCAUGGGCCCUGUGUCCCCAGCCCUUGGGACCUAGGGAUAAGUUUGGUUGCAGACAUUG